rnacentral:rRNA from 1 species
GACGAACGCUGGCGGCGUGCUUAACACAUGCAAGUCGAACGGAAAGGCCCUGCUUUUGUGGGGUGCUCGAGUGGCGAACGGGUGAGUAACACGUGAGUAACCUGCCCUUGACUUUGGGAUAACUUCAGGAAACUGGGGCUAAUACCGGAUAGGAGCUCCUGCUGCAUGGUGGGGGUUGGAAAGUUUCGGCGGUUGGGGAUGGACUCGCGGCUUAUCAGCUUGUUGGUGGGGUAGUGGCUUACCAAGGCUUUGACGGGUAGCCGGCCUGAGAGGGUGACCGGCCACAUUGGGACUGAGAUACGGACCAGACUCCUACGGGAGGCAGCAGUGGGGAAUAUUGCGCAGUGGGCGGAAGCCUGAUGCAGCAACGCCGCGUGCGGGAUGACGGCCUUCGGGUUGUAAACCGCUUUCGCCUGUGACGAAGCGUGAGUGACGGUAAUGGGUAAAGAAGCACCGGCUAACUACGUG